CAGCCGCCGCGGUAAUACGAAGGGUGCAAGCGUUACUCGGAAUUACUGGGCGUAAAGCGUGCGUAGGCGGUGAGUUAAGUCUGCUGUGAAAUCCCCGGGCUCAACCUGGGAAUGGCAGUGGAUACUGGCUCGCUAGAGUGUGUCAGAGGAUGGUGGAAUUCCCGGUGUAGCGGUGAAAUGCGUAGAGAUCGGGAGGAACAUCAGUGGCGAAGGCGGCCAUCUGGGACAACACUGACGCUGAGGCACGAAAGCGUGGGGAGCAAACAGGAUUAGAUACCCGGGUAGUCCCUGUCUCUUAUAC
rnacentral:rRNA from 1 species